GAAGGUAUAGCUCAGUGGUUGAGUGUGUACUUAGCAUGCACGGGGUCAUGGGUUCAAUCCCCAGUACCUGCA
rfam:Camelus ferus unplaced genomic scaffold scaffold813, whole genome shotgun sequence.